GCGUCGGUGGCGGAGCGGUCUAACGCACCUGACUGUAGAUCAGGCGGAUUUAUCCUUCGUUGGUUCGAAUCCAACCCGGCGCA
rnacentral:tRNA from 1 species